rnacentral:pre_miRNA from 1 species
UUGGGGUGAGGUAGUAGGUUGUAUAGUUUUAGGGUCAUUCCCAUGCUGUCAGAUGACUAUACAACUUACUGUCUUUCCUGA